rnacentral:rRNA from 1 species
AACGAACGCUGGCGGCAUGCCUAACACAUGCAAGUCGAACGAGGCCUUCGGGUCUAGUGGCGCACGGGUACGUAACGCGUGGGAACCUUCCCUUAGGUUCGGAAUAACUCCCCGAAAGGGGUGCCAAUACCGGAUAAUUUCUUCUGACCAAAGAUUUAUCGGCUUUGGAUGGGCCCGCGUUGGAUUAGCUAGUUGGUAGGGUAAAAGCCUACCAAGGCGACGAUCCAUAGCUGGUCUGAGAGGAUGAUCAGACACACUGGGACUGAGACACGGCCCAGACUCCUACGGGAGGCAGCAGUGGGGAAUAUUGGACGAUGGGCGAGAGCCUGAGCCAGCAAUGCCGCGUGAGUGAGGAAGGCCUUAGGGUUGUAAAUGUCUUUUACCCGGGAUGAUAAUGACAGUACCGGGAGAAUAAGCGCCGGCUAACUCCGUG